AAUGGCAAGAGCAAAAAGUCAGGAUCCGGGGACCUCAUCGAAGUUAGACACGAUAAAUCUAGAGGGGAAUUAAUUGCCGUUUGGUCCUGUCCGGUCCGGUCCCAUCCCAUUGCCAUGCCCAUGCCGUGGUCCCAGCCUCACAUUCUGUCCCUCCCGUACCUUUAGCCUCCUCUAACUGGUUGACAUCCUACAAAUAAAAUCAGCUCCAGGAAUGCCCGCGACGACACGGGCCUGUGGUACCUCUUCGAGCUCUCGUGAAGCAGGAGGGAAAUCGAUCUCCACGAAGGAGGGACGAGGAUCAGGACCCUGGGAGAGAUCUAUCCGCAAACCUCCACGUAACCAGAUGCCCAAACCCAUGGACUUGCAUGCACCACACCUGGACUGAGAAUGCGCUGUGCUUUAUUUAAUUGUCGCUCCCAUGCGGUCUUUUUGCGAUUUUUCAAUCCUACACAGAACGGUAACGCGAUUGACACUAUCGAUAUCCAUUGAAGAACGACUACGUGGCUAUUGAAAAUCCCAUAAAAUUUAUGUGGGUCGGAUUAGUAGGCGUACGUUUCGAUCACCACAGAUAGCGACCAUACCAUUUUCGCUUACUAAUAGAGAAUGUAAGAUCGAUCGUACGAUCAUACUUUCUCCGAACGCUCUCGACGUUUAGGAAGGUCGUACAGAUAAAUCGUCGGCUCGAAUACGAACGCGAAGAAAGGUGAAGGCGGAUUCUUCGUAACAUUGUCCUGCGCAUAAUUGGUCAAGAGAAGGAACGAACCGUGGAAACGAGAAGGGCGCUCCGCGACGCCGUGGAACAUGAGAAAAAGGUGCAAACUAACAAGAGAAUGUUGUUAGCUCGCUUAGUAUGUCACCGCGUACGCUACGUUAAACCAUUGGGAACUCUUAAAAUAGAUGUGUCCAGGACCGGUUAGCCAGUUCAAAAAUUUGC